rnacentral:rRNA from 1 species
GUGGGGAAUCUUCCGCAAUGGACGAAAGUCUGACGGAGCAACGCCGCGUGAGUGAUGAAGGUCUUCGGAUUGUAAAGCUCUGUUAAUCGGGACGAAAGAGCCUAGUGUGAAUAAUGCUAGGACGUGACGGUACCGGAAUAGAAAGCCACGGCUAACUACGUGCCAGCAGCCGCGGUAAUACGUAGGUGGCAAGCGUUGUCCGGAAUUAUUGGGCGUAAAGCGCGCGCAGGCGGAUCUGUCAGUCUGUCUUAAAAGUUCGGGGCUUAACCCCGUGAUGGGAUGGAAACUACAGAUCUAGAGUGUAGGAGAGGAAAGUGGAAUUCCUAGUGUAGCGGUGAAAUGCGUAGAUAUUAGGAAGAACACCAGUGGCGAAGGCGGCUUUCUGGACUGUAACUGACACUGAGGCACGAAAGCGUGGGGAGCAAACAGGAUUAGAAACCCUAGUAGUCC